rnacentral:tRNA from 1 species
GGGGGCGUAGAACAGCCUGGAGUGUUCGUCGGCCUGUCAAGCCGAAGGUCGCGGGUUCAAAUCCCGUCGCUCCCGCCA